GAUGAAGAACGUAGCGAAAUGCGAUAAGUAAUGUGAAUUGCAGAAUUCAGUGAAUCAUCGAAUCUUUGAACGCACAUUGCGCCCCCUGGUAUUCCGGGGGGCAUGCCUGUCCGAGCGUCAUUACAACCCUCACGCUCAGCUUGGUAUUGGGCCCCGCCGACCCGGCGGGCCCUAAAGUCAGUGGCGGUGCCGUCCGGCUCCGAGCGUAGUAAUUCUUCUCGCUCUGGAGGUCCGGUCGUGUGCUCGCCAGCAACCCCCAAUUUUUUUCAGGUUGACCUCGGAUCAGGUAGGGAUACCCGCUGAACUUAAGCAUAUCAAUAAGCGGAGGA
rnacentral:misc_RNA from 1 species